rnacentral:SRP_RNA from 1 species
GGGAAAAGGGUGGCGAGGUUCUCGGGCUACGGGCAGCAGGACGCCUGCGAACUCAUCAACUUCUUGCUUGACCUCAUUCACGAGGACCUGAACCGGGUCAAGAAGAAGCCGUACGUGGAGAUGCCCGAGGGCGAGGGGCGACCCGACCAAGAGCUGAGCA